CAACUCGGCUGCAUGAAGCUGGAAUCGCUAGUAAUCGCGGAUCAGAAUGCCGCGGUGAAUACGUUCCCGGGUCUUGUACACACCGCCCGUCACACCAUGGGAGUUGGAAAUGCCCGAAGUCAGUGGCCCAACCGCAAGGAGGGAGCUGCCGAAGGCAGGUUCGAUGACUGGGGUGAAGUCGUAACAAGGUAAC
rnacentral:rRNA from 1 species